UCUGACUAGAUACUCAUCGAGGCCACCAUGGACUUCCACUACUCCUGAGCUUCGAAGGGUUCUGCAGAGAUGAACUAAAAAAACUAUACGACCCUAAAGAACCCUGCUUUUUCAACGAUAACCCUUGAUAGAAAAUUACCACCAUUUUAGGCCAUAAAUCGGCCAACUAAUGCUAUGACCACCACAAUAGGUGGUUGGGUUAAAUGAAAGCUAGACUUAGACCUAAAAACCAAACUUUUUUCUACCCACAACUUCCUAAAUCAACACGUGCAAGAUUAAAAUCGGCCUCUUAUCUGCUACCCUUAACUGUCGAGAGCCUCCCUAAAUGACGACUUCGACAACACUCACUCCGGUGAGGCCAUACUACACCGACAAGAAGACCAACCACCAGGAAUACACUGCUCACCGACGCUCGACCGACCACCAUACGAUGGUGGCACUCCUUACCUCAACUGCCACAGGACUUGACCGCCUAAGAUGAUUUGUGUAGUAUCAACUUCAAUUGUGGCAUGAUCGAAGGUGGCUCAUACGCGUGGAUGGGAGCAGCAGUGAAGCACAAACGCAUUUCUGGUGGCUGGCGGGUCUUGUAAUCGGGUCUGGAUCCGGGUCUUGGGCUCGAACCAACAUCUUGUAUUUGGGUUGAUAUUUGUAACUCGGUCUUGGGCCUUGUUGGGCUUCUGGGUAA